rnacentral:lncRNA from 1 species
AGCAAAUCUAAGCAAGGCAAAGAGUCCCACAUUGGAAUAUUACAAGAUGUGUAGACUCCCCCUCAUCUAUAAAAGGAGACCAUUCUCCACUUAGGGAGGGAUCUCUGGGCUGGACUUUAUCUUUAGUCAUGGGCUUCUCCCUUCUUCCCUUUAUAUUUGGGUUCAACCCCAUGUACAAAUGUAAACACAUACAUUAUUAUAGUGAGAAUAUACUUCCCCGUGGACGUAGCCCAUUCAUUAAGGGUGAACCACGUAUAUCUUGUCUUCUGUAUAUUUAUCACUUGCCCAAAUCCUCACACACUUGGUGAAAGUCCUCACCACCUUCACCCAUCAUCCAUCACACAUCAUCACUAAGUUGGGCUCAAAAGUGCCGAAUCAUUUUUGAGCGUCAACAGUUUGGCGCCGUCUGUGGGAAUCGACACAAGAAGCCUUUGUCGUUCUCCCUUCCUUCAGUGUCCUUCGGUACCCUUUCAAUCAUUGCCUUUUAGCUUAUCGUUUAGCACCAUAUAUGCAGAAGCCACCAUUGGAUCUCAAGGAACAAAUAUGCCGAAGACAUGUAUCUGCUGAAGCAACCCACCUUUCAGUCACUUUGAAGAGUCUCAAUUUGGGGGUGGCCUAAUAUUCCAAAUGCACCAAGGAUAUCACCAUGCAUGGCUUGAACAUGCCCAAGAAAAAAUUGCUCCAAUAUGAAGGAUGCCCACGUGCAUCCUCACCACAAGAUAAGAUUUCUCUUUUUAUAUAUAAAUAUUGUAUACAGGCAUGCAAUAUUUAAAUAAUUCAUUGCACAAUCCUAUUCAACAAAUAUGAAUAUUACAUAUGAAUAAUAGGAGCUGUCCAGAUUUGGUUACUUUGAAAAGUUCCAAUUUGGCAGUUGCCCAAUACUCCAAUUCACCAAAAUUAUUUUCUUCUUUCUGCAUGGCUUGCAUGGAGUACCCAUACUGAAGCCCACAUGCCAACCGAAUGGCAACCGCAGAAAACUCCACAUGCCUCGCACCAAGGUUGAUUGCUCAGAACCAUGUUCGGCAGCAACCAUACUUUGGCUUCUUCGGAAGCUUCAGAUCAGCAACUCUAGGAGCAGUUCCAAAAGCUCCCAAGUCUUCUGACUCAUGGUUGGUCUUUGUUCAAAACACUGAAUGGCACACCCAUUUGCUCAAGCCACCCAAGAGCCUUGAGAGACCACCAUCUCCAUGCCACUCGACCAGCCAUCGAACGGUAGCCAUGCCUCUGGUUUUCUCAAGACACCCACUUGGUCGAGGAUUCCGAACGGCACAUCAUGGCUUGUUGGAGCACAUGUGAACUCUCAGCCCUUUGAAGUGCACUAUGCGGGAUAUGCAUGAUGCCCAAGUCAAGACAACGGAGGCCACUUCUAAUUACAUGUAUGGGGCAUCUAUCUAUGGUACCGUGUGCAGGUCUGAAAGCUCACCAAAACUCCUUCGACAGACCUUUGCCGAUCGGCAGGAGCCUUGCCAAAAGCUGGAGCACACGGCACCUCCUCUUCCACAACCCCCUUGGAAAUUGCUGAACUGGAGAAGGCCCCCUUCUUUAUCAACCUUGCCGAAACAGCAACUUGCUGAGCCCUAGCAACUCUCUGAUCUUUGGCCCUUGCCGAAACUCACGUCACAAGAUUUCUCUCCUUUGGUCACGACCCCAACAACUCACACUUUUCACAAAGACCCAGCACCAUUGCCGAACGGCAAGAGCCAUGCUGCGAACUUGAGAGGCCCACAAAAAUCACAGUUUCAAGUCAAGCUUGCCGAACGUCCAAGAGCCAAGACUACGGCUGCCUUGCCCGGCUCACAAUCACAACAAACCACACCCUUGCCGAAGACUUGACCUCUUUAUAUUCGAACCCAAGCCACCACGAAGACCUUGCUGCUUGCCGAAGCAGCCUUCCUUCAGCAUAGCCAAUGACGAAGGUUCAAACACCUUGCCAAACGGUUGCUACGCAGCCCAAGCCAAAACCUCACAAGCCCUCUUGCCGAGGACACCACAGGCUCUCAAAAAUUUUCAAUCCACCCUUGCCGUUCGGCAAGGGCUGAGCAGAAGUAAAUGCUUGUUCACAAAAAUAGCAAAGGACCUAGCCGCCAUGGAAGUCGGACCCUCCUUUGCCAACGCUAUUAUGCUCUGAAGCCCCCUUUCCGAACCAGUUUCUAUGCCGAACGGUACGUUCUGUGCAGAUGGUGUUAAGAGCUCAAAGGCCACUGAGGAUACUUGCGAUCCUUGUCGAUCGGCAGAGUCGCUGAGCGUGGCUUGGUACUUGAAAAGUCUUCUCCCACCUUACCGAGCAGUCUUGGUUCACCCAAGAGAAACACAAAGGCCUCAAAAAAAAAAUUCACACGACCCUUGUCGUUCGGCAAGGGCUAUGCAAAAGUGGCGGAGAAGCUAGCGACCCUCCUUGCCCUUGUCAAAUCCAUAGGCUCCGAACGCCAAAAGCAAAAAACCCAAGAUUAUUAGCCAUCGGCAAUAGUCAUUGGUAAAAAUAAAAAGUCCAAGAUUAUUAGCCAUGGGCAAUAAUUAUUGGUAAAGAUCAUCGGCAUAUACGCCAAAAGAAAAAAUCCAAGAUUAUUAGCCAUCGGCAAUAACAAUUGGUAAGUUUGUUCUACAAGCUUCAUCAUUAGGCGCGAGCGAUGCCUUCGGUACCCCCGCCAUCAUUCGAUGAGAGCGAUGCCUUCGGCACGCACCCUGUCAUCACUCGACGAGAGCGAUGCCUUCGGCACCCUGCCAUCAUUCGGCGAGCCUGAUGCCUUCGGCACCCGGUCAUCAUUCGACGUGGGUGAUGCCUUCGGCACCCCGUCAUCAUUCGACGAGAGCGAUGCCUUCGGCACCCCGUCAUCAUUCGGCACUCUGCCAUCAUUCGACGAGAGCGAUGCCUUCGGCACUCCGUUAUCAUUCGGCGAGCGUGAUGCCUUCGGCACCCGGUCAUCAUUCAACGUGGGUGAUGCCUUCGGCACCCCGUCAUCAUUCGACGAGAGUGAUGCCUUCGGCACCCCGUCAUCAUUUAGCGCGAGCCAUGCCUUCGGCACCCCAUCAUCAUUCGACAAGAGCGAUGCCUUCGGCACCAUCCAUACCACACUACUUGGAAGAAGACUAAGGUGUUGCUCAGUCAGUGCAUUGAAAAUUACAAGUCCUCAACUAAGAAGUACCUCCUUACUUGAGAACUUAGGGGACUUCUGUUUAUACCAUAUCUGACCAAGCAACUAGAAGCAAAUCUAAGCAAGGCAAAGAGUUCCACAUUGGAAUAUUACAAGAUGUGUAGACUCCCCCUCAUCUAUAAAAGGAGACCAUUCUCCACUUAGGGAGGGAUCUCUGGGCUGGACUUUAUCUUUAGUCAUGGGCUUCUCCCUUCUUCCCUUUAUAUUUGGGUUCAACCCCAUGUACAAAUGUAAACACAUACAUUAUUAUAGUGAGAAUAUACUUCCCCGUGGACGUAGCCCAUUCAUUAAGGGUGAACCACGUAUAUCUUGUCUUCUGUAUAUUUAUCACUUGCCCAAAUCCUCACACACUUGGUGAAAGUCCUCACCACCUUCACCCAUCAUCCAUCACACAUCAUCACUAAGUUGGGCUCAAAAGUGCCGAACCAUUUUUGAGCGUCAACACUAUUGUUAGAAUUUAGGAGGUGUGAUGUGUGUUGCUCUGAUACUAUUGUUUAUGUGUGAAGGGGUUUAGGACAAUAGUUGAACAAAGUGAUUUUAUUAUAUUUGAGGAGAAUAGUACAUGGCUUGGUGUAGGCUGAUUGGCCUUCUUUAUAGCUUAUUGGCUUAUUGACCACCACACUUGGUUUAGAUUAGUUUUGGGCUAUUUGGCCCUUCACUGAGAUUGGUCAGCUUAUUGGCUCCCUAACAUAGGUAGCUUUGGGUAGCUCUUGGCUCCCUUAUAGUUUGGGAGUUCUUUUCGUUGGACUCC